UACGUAGGGCGCAAGCGUUGUCCGGAAUUACUGGGCGUAAAGCGUGCGCAGGCGGUUCGUUAAGUUCGAUGUGAAAGCCCCGGGCUCAACCUGGGAACUGCAUUGGAAACUGGCGAGCUUGAAUGCGGCAGAGGGGGGUGGAAUUCCGCGUGUAGCAGUGAAAUGCGUAGAGAUGCGGAGGAACACCGAUGGCGAAGGCAGCCCCCUGGGCCGACAUUGACGCUCAGGCACGAAAGCGUGGGGAGCAAACAGG
rnacentral:rRNA from 1 species